UACGGAGGGUGCAAGCGUUAUCCGGAUUCACUGGGUUUAAAGGGUGCGUAGGAGGGCAGGUAAGUCAGUGGUGAAAUCUCCGGGCUUAACCCGGAAACUGCCAUUGAUACUAUUUGUCUUGAAUACUGUGGAGGUCAGCGGAAUAUGUCAUGUAGCGGUGAAAUGCUUAGAUAUGACAUAGAACACCAAUUGCGAAGGCAGCUAGGCUACACAAAUAUUGGCCACUGAGGCA
rnacentral:rRNA from 1 species